rnacentral:tRNA from 1 species
AGUCGCAUAGCUCAGUUGGUUAGAGCACCACCUUGACAUGGUGGGGGUCGGUGGUUCGAAUCCACUUGCGACUACCA